AUGGCAAUGAAAACAGCUAAUCACUUGCAGUUUACUGGACAACUUUCUUCAGCUGCAUUUCCUGUCCCACAAAGACAGCUCCUAUAGAUCAAGAACUUCCUGCAACUCAAUACAUGGAGACCUACUGACAACAGAAACCAUCACAAAGGAG